GCGUGUAUUGAUGAAGCUAGUUCUGUAAUAUUGAGAAGAAGAGGGUUUUGGGAUGAAUAGUGCUUUCAGCGAGCAUAUACUGGCGGAUAAGCUCUCGAAGCUCAAUAGCACUCAGCAAUGUAUUGAAAGUAUCCUUUUCUUGAUGAAUUUUCUACUAGUUUUAAUUUUCUCAUAUGUGUAUGUUUCACAAAACUGAUAAAACAGUUACCUACCUGCUCUUAGGUAAGUAAGCAUCUAGUGUUUCGCUGCAAGUCAAUUAUUUCCCAUUGUAGUGGGGAGCCUUACCUGACUAGCACAUUUACCUUGAAAAAAAAAUACUAACUCUUGAUUUUACCUAUUGCUUAAUAUUUUUAGGUUAAUAUUUGGGAAGAAAGAAGAGUUUUUGGAUCUCGUGCACAAGGCCUUAAGGAUCUAAUGCUUGGUUCUGAACCUCUCCCUGCAUUGGAAUUGAAUAAAAAGUGUUCACGUUCUGGUUCUGUAAAGAUCAUGAGAAGAGAUUCGCGUUCUAUAAAAACAAAAUUGUCUAUUGGAGGAACAGCUGAAAAGAUCGUCUUUGCACUUCAUACCGUGCUGAGCAAACACCCAGACGAGGAUACAGACCUGGAAAAGUGCAAGAAUGCAGUGCGUCGUCUAGAAAAGAUGGAGAAGGAUGUUGAAGUAGCUUGUGCUCGAGGCCCUCUGUAAUAAUACAUAAAAUGAAGAAUAAAGAUGCGAAACCAGGGACUUCCCCAAAUAAAAGUUCCAGGGCAGUCCCCAUGGCUUUGAUGUUUGUUGUACUGUGUGGAUUUUCAUUCUAUCUUGGAGGAAUUUUUUGCUCCAAGAAGAACAGAUUCUCGAAAAGAUACCGCUUUGUCCCCUCUUCAAGUCAAGCCUAUAGCAUUUCUAGAAUGUGGCAUCGAUUAUCAAGAUUAUACACCGUGCACAGACCCUAAGAGAUGGAGAAAGUAUGGAAAUUACAGACUUAGUUUUAUGGAGCGCCAUUGCCCACCAAUGUCUGAAAGGAAAAAAUGUUUGGUGCCUCCUCCAGAUGGGUACAAGCCACCUAUCAGAUGGCCUAAGAGUAGAGAUCAGUGUUGGUACAGGUACUUAUUUUCCUUUUUUUUCUCUUAUUUUUUUCUCUUAAUUACUCGUAUGUUACUCAUUUUCAACUUGCUGAUUGAUAUCCUUGACCGCUUGAUGUUGAGCUGAGAAAUACAAGGAAGAUGAUGUUCAGGACAGCGACCUUCUUCCAAUCAUCCUUGAUGUACAAAUAGUUGAGAUAUGAUCUCUAAGUGUAAAGCUUCGUGUGGGACAUCGAUACUUUCACCUUGCCUGAGGUGGCGGGAUCGGCUAUGAACCAUCAUUACGCAUUUUCAGGUUCCUACUGGCCCUAGUUGAAUCCCCUCGGCUAGUAUUUUUAGAGUCUGAAAGCAAGUGUGAGCUUUUUCCCCCUAUGUCCACUACAUAGCUGAAGCUUAUCUUCACCUGGAUUGUACAGCAACUUGCUGAGCUGUGUCUUGUUUGCAUCUUGUUUGUAUCCUUCAAACCCAAGCUACAGCUUUUUUAGGUAGAGAACUAGAGCAUCUCAUAUACUUCCCUGGAAUCUGAUUGAGGAUCAUCUCCCUUCAAGAUCUCGUAUGAGUUCUUUUGUUGCCUCUCGUCUGUGAU